rnacentral:rRNA from 2 species
GACGAACGCUGGCGGCGGGCCUAAUACAUGCAAGUCGAACGAACUCUGGCAUUGAUUGGUGCUUGCAUCAUGAUUUACAUUUGAGUGAGUGGCGAACUGGUGAGUAACACGUGGGAAACCUGCCCAGAAGCGGGGGAUAACACCUGGAAACAGAUGCUAAUACCGCAUAACAACUUGGACCGCAUGGUCCGAGCUUGAAAGAUGGCUUCGGCUAUCACUUUUGGAUGGUCCCGCGGCGUAUUAGCUAGAUGGUGGGGUAACGGCUCACCAUGGCAAUGAUACGUAGCCGACCUGAGAGGGUAAUCGGCCACAUUGGGACUGAGACACGGCCCAAACUCCUACGGGAGGCAGCAGUAGGGAAUCUUCCACAAUGGACGAAAGUCUGAUGGAGCAACGCCGCGUGAGUGAAGAAGGGUUUCGGCUCGUAAAACUCUGUUGUUAAAGAAGAACAUAUCUGAGAGUAACUGUUCAGGUAUUGACGGUAUUUAACCAGAAAGCCACGGCUAACUACGUGCCAGCAGCCGCGGUAAUACGUAGGUGGCAAGCGUUGUCCGGAUUUAUUGGGCGUAAAGCGAGCGCAGGCGGUUUUUUAAGUCUGAUGUGAAAGCCUUCGGCUCAACCGAAGAAGUGCAUCGGAAACUGGGAAACUUGAGUGCAGAAGAGGACAGUGGAACUCCAUGUGUAGCGGUGAAAUGCGUAGAUAUAUGGAAGAACACCAGUGGCGAAGGCGGCUGUCUGGUCUGUAACUGACGCUGAGGCUCGAAAGUAUGGGUAGCAAACAGGAUUAGAUACCCUGGUAGUCCAUACCGUAAACGAUGAAUGCUAAGUGUUGGAGGGUUUCCGCCCUUCAGUGCUGCAGCUAACGCAUUAAGCAUUCCGCCUGGGGAGUACGGCCGCAAGGCUGAAACUCAAAGGAAUUGACGGGGGCCCGCACAAGCGGUGGAGCAUGUGGUUUAAUUCGAAGCUACGCGAAGAACCUUACCAGGUCUUGACAUACUAUGCAAAUCUAAGAGAUUAGACGUUCCCUUCGGGGACAUGGAUACAGGUGGUGCAUGGUUGUCGUCAGCUCGUGUCGUGAGAUGUUGGGUUAAGUCCCGCAACGAGCGCAACCCUUAUUAUCAGUUGCCAGCAUUAAGUUGGGCACUCUGGUGAGACUGCCGGUGACAAACCGGAGGAAGGUGGGGAUGACGUCAAAUCAUCAUGCCCCUUAUGACCUGGGCUACACACGUGCUACAAUGGAUGGUACAACGAGUUGCGAACUCGCGAGAGUAAGCUAAUCUCUUAAAGCCAUUCUCAGUUCGGAUUGUAGGCUGCAACUCGCCUACAUGAAGUCGGAAUCGCUAGUAAUCGCGGAUCAGCAUGCCGCGGUGAAUACGUUCCCGGGCCUUGUACACACCGCCCGUCACACCAUGAGAGUUUGUAACACCCAAAGUCGGUGGGGUAACCUUUUAGGAACCAGCCGCCUAAGGUGGGACAGAUGAUUAGGGUG